AAAAAAAAUCACCCAAAAUAACCAAGACGCUCAUUUUUGUUUAGAGAUACUUGGUUUCGAUAGCUCCAAGUUGAGGAUUGAAGGUGAUCCUUCGAUUGUACUGCCUUUUAGGACUCGGUCAUAACUUGAUCUGCUUCAAGAACAAUUCAAGACUAUCGUCUAUUGAUUAGUCCUCGCUUGCUUUCUUGGUUCAGUUCCCUCUUGAAAGUUCUCGUUGAAGCUCGUUUCGGGUCUUCUCUCUGACCUCGCGCUUCUCUUUGCUUCUCAAUUCGCGAAGAUUCGAAAAAGAGGGCAAAAUAUCUUCGCACUCGGCAAGAAAGGCAUGGCAUUCCCACAGUGGGAGGUGGGAGAUGCUCGUGAUUGAUUGCUUCGACCAGAAUCAGGCAGUCGGUUUCAAUGAUCAAGUCGAGAAAAUAUUCAGUGGUUGCCAAUCACCACAUCACCGUCCUACGUGGCGCGCGCAAUUCUAGGUGGCUCCACUAACAGUCAACAUGUGUCCUUGGACUUAUACCAGCUGGAAAAUAGAGAAGUCAAAGGUUAUUUUUUUCUCUCUCCCCUGCGGCUGAAAAGAGACUCAAGCGAAGCAUUAAUUAAUGUUGUUGCCGCUCAAAAACCUCUCUCUUCGUUUCAAUUUUCAAGCGCUUUUUGCCUUCUCCUUCCUCGAGUUGAGAAGAGAAAACGUAGAUACCUUCUCUCUCUCCUUCUCCGGCACGCCCGACUAUGUCCACCUCCACCUCCGCCUCGCCAUGCCCCUACCCUUUCCCCAAAGCCCUCUCGUCG